CACAAGCGGUGGAGCAUGUGGUUUAAUUCGAUGAUACGCGAGGAACCUUACCUGGGCUCAAAUGUAUGUUGACGUAUUCUGAAGGGAUACUUCUUCGGACAAUAUACAAGGUGCUGCAUGGUUGUCGUCAGCUCGUGUCGUGAGAUGUUGGGUUAAGUCCCGCAACGAGCGCAACCCUUGCCUUUAGUUGCCAGCAGUUCGGCUGGGCACUCUAAAGGGACUGCCGGUGUUAAACCGGAGGAAGGUGGGGAUGACGUCAAGUCCUCAUGGCCUUUAUGACCAGGGCUACACACGUACUACAAUGGCCGAUACAAAGGGCAGCGACACUGCGAGGUGAAGCCAAUCCCGUAAAAUCGGUCUCAGUCCGGAUUGGAGUCUGCAACUCGACUCCAUGAAGUUGGAAUCGCUAGUAAUCGUGGAUCAGCAUGCCACGGUGAAUACGUUCCCGGGCCUU
rnacentral:rRNA from 1 species